rnacentral:rRNA from 1 species
AUUGAACGCUGGCGGCAGGCUUAACACAUGCAAGUCGAGCGGGGGAAGGUAGCUUGCUACCGGACCUAGCGGCGGACGGGUGAGUAAUGCUUAGGAAUCUGCCUAUUAGUGGGGGACAACAUCUCGAUAGGGAUGUUAAUACCGCAUACGUCCUACGGGAGAAAGCAGGGGGUCUUCGGACCUUGCGCUAAUAGAUGAGCCUAAUUCGGAUUAGCUAGGUGGUGGGGUAAAGGCCUACCAAGGCGCCGAUCUGUAGCGGGUCUGAGAGGAUGAUCCGCCACACUGGGACUGAGACACGGCCCAGACUCCUACGGGAGGCAGAAGUGGGGAAUAUUGGACAAUGGGGGGAACCCUGAUCCAGCCAUGCCGCGUGUGUGAGGAAGGCCUUAUGGUUGUAAAGCACUUUAAGCGAGGAGGAGGCUACUUUAGUUAAUACCUAGAGAUAGUGGACGUUACUCGCAGAAUAAGCACCGGCUAACUCUGUGCCAGCAGCCGCCGCAG